GAUGAACGCUGGCGGCGUGCCUAAUACAUGCAAGUCGAGCGAACAGACGAGGAGCUUGCUCCUCUGACGUUAGCGGCGGACGGGUGAGUAACACGUGGAUAACCUACCUAUAAGACUGGGAUAACUUCGGGAAACCGGAGCUAAUACCGGAUAAUAUAUUGAACCGCAUGGUUCAAUAGUGAAAGACGGUUUUGCUGUCACUUAUAGAUGGAUCCGCGCCGCAUUAGCUAGUUGGUAAGGUAACGGCUUACCAAGGCAACGAUGCGUAGCCGACCUGAGAGGGUGAUCGGCCACACUGGAACUGAGACACGGUCCAGACUCCUACGGGAGGCAGCAGUAGGGAAUCUGCCGCAAUGGGCGAAAGCUUGACGGAGCAACGCCGCGUGAGUGAUGAAGGUCUUCGGAUCGUAAAACUCUGUUAUUAGGGAAGAACAAAUGUGUAAGUAACGAUGCACGUCUUGACGGUACCUAAUCAGAAAGCCACGGAUAACUACGU
rnacentral:rRNA from 1 species